rnacentral:tRNA from 1 species
CGGAGUAAAGCUUAAGUAUAAAUAAGCAUUUCAUUUACACUGAAAAGAUAUCUGUGUUAUUCAGUAUACUUUGA